rnacentral:rRNA from 1 species
UACGGGGGGAGCAAGCGUUGUUCGGAUUUACUGGGCGUAAAGGGCGCGUAGGCGGCCACCGCAAGUCGGUUGUGAAAUCUCCGGGCUUAACCCGGAAAGGUCAAUCGAUACUGCGGGGCUAGAGUGCAGAAGGGGCAACUGGAAUUCUCGGUGUAGCGGUGAAAUGCGUAGAUAUCGAGAGGAACACCUGCGGCGAAGGCGGGUUGCUGGCUGACACUGACGCUGAAGCGCGAAAGCUAGGGGAGCGAACGGG